UACAGGAGGGUGCGAGCGUUAAUCGGAAUUACUGGGCGUAAAGCGUGCGUAGACGGUUAUUUAAGUCGGGUGUGAAAGCCCCGGGCUCAACCUGGGAAUUGCAUUCGAGACUGAAUAGCUAGGGUACGGUAGAGGGAAGUGGAAUUUCCGGUGUAGCGGUGAAAUGCGUAGAUAUCGGAAGGAACAUCAGUGGCGAAAGCGACUUCCUGGACCAGUACCGACGUUCAGGCACGAAGCGUGG
rnacentral:rRNA from 1 species